rnacentral:rRNA from 1 species
UACGUAGGGUGCGAGCGUUAAUCGGAAUUACUGGGCGUAAAGCGUGCGCAGGCGGUUUUGUAAGCCAGAUGUGAAAGCCCCGGGCUUAACCUGGGAAUGGCAUUUGGGACUGCAAGGCUUGAGUGCGGCAGAGGAGACUGGAAUUCCUGGUGUAGCAGUGAAAUGCGUAGAUAUCAGGAGGAAUACCGAUGGCGAAGGCAGCCUCCUGGGCCAGCACUGACGCUCAUGCACGAAAGCGUGGGGAGCAAACAGG